rnacentral:rRNA from 1 species
GAUGAACGCUGGCGGCGUGCCUAAUACAUGCAAGUAGAACGCUGAAGGAGGAGCUUGCUCUUCUGGAUGAGUUGCGAACGGGUGAGUAACGCGUAGGUAACCUGCCUGGUAGCGGGGGAUAACUAUUGGAAACGAUAGCUAAUACCGCAUGACAACAGUUAUUGCAUGAUAACUGUUUAAAAGGGGCAACUGCUCCACUACCAGAUGGACCUGCGUUGUAUUAGCUAGUUGGUGAGGUAACGGCUCACCAAGGCGACGAUACAUAGCCGACCUGAGAGGGGGAUCGGCCACACUGGGACUGAGACACGGCCCAGACGCCUACGGGAGGCAGCAGUAGGGAAUCUUCGGCAAUGGACGGAAGUCUGACCGAGCAACGCCGCGGGAGUGAAGAAGGUUGUCGGAUCGUAAAGCUCUGUUGUAAGAGAAGAACGAGUGUGAGAGUGGAAAGUUCACACUGUGACGGUAUCUUACCAGAAAGGGACGGCUAACUACGUG